rnacentral:lncRNA from 1 species
CAGAAAGAUGAUUUUUCUGGAUAAGGAGAAACUGUAGAAAUUAUUCUUGUUGUCUGAAAAUAACAUCAAUUUGAAAUGAUAAAGAUUGCUGUCACCAUCACAUGUGAGAGUAAUUUGAUUGCACUAAAUAAACAAAACACAGCUCAUCAGCCUAAUCAAUGUAGCCUCCUACUGAAGAUUCUAGCCAGGAAUGGGAUGGCAACUCAACCAGAAUAAAUAAGAAAGAGCAAGACAGCCUGUCAUUGCCUAAUGAAGCUGAGACAUUAAAGAUUCAGCAGGAAAUUCUGGUGUUAUGUGUUCCUGAGGGGAAAAUAAAGCAACCUGACAAGUAGCA